rnacentral:rRNA from 1 species
UGGGGAAUUUUGGACAAUGGGGGAAACCCUGAUCCAGCCAUCCCGCGUGUGCGAUGAAGGCCUUCGGGUUGUAAAGCACUUUUGGCAGGAAAGAAACGUCAUGGGUUAAUACCCCGUGAAACUGACGGUACCUGCAGAAUAAGCACCGGCUAACUACGUGCCAGCAGCCGCGGUAAUACGUAGGGUGCAAGCGUUAAUCGGAAUUACUGGGCGUAAAGCGUGCGCAGGCGGUUCGGAAAGAAAGAUGUGAAAUCCCAGAGCUCAACUUUGGAACUGCAUUUUUAACUACCGGGCUAGAGUGUGUCAGAGGGAGGGGGAAUUCCGCGUGUAGCAGUGAAAUGCGUAGAUAUGCGGAGGAACACCGAUGGCGAAGGCAGCAUCCUGGGAUAACACUGACGCUCAUGCACGAAAGCGUGGGGAGCAAACAGG